GGUCUACAGAACUCAUUAUAGAUCAAGCCUGCUCAAUGCAUUGUAAAUAGCCGCGGUAUCCUGACCGUGCAAAGGUAGCAUAAUAAUUAGCCCUUUAAUUGGGGGCUGGAAUAAAUGGUUUGACUGAGUAGUAUUGUCUUGUAGUUAUACCUCAAACUUUACAUACCAGUAAAAAGGCUGGUAUUACAUUAAAGGACAAGAAGACCCUUUCGAGCUUUACAAGGAGGUUUCCCACAUCCAAAAGGAAAGCUAACUUGUUGUACUGGGGCAGUAAAGGACACUUAUCUUUCAAAUUCUAUGAAUUAUAAUUCUAGCCAUACCUAGAAAUUCUAAAACGAGAACAAGUUACCGAAGGGAUAACAGCGCAAUUUCACUAGAGAGAACAUAUUGACAGUGAAAUUUACGACCUCGAUGUUGGAUUAAAGGACCUACCUUACGCAGAAGUAAAACAAGGUAGUCUGUUCGACUAUUAAACCUUUCCA
rnacentral:rRNA from 1 species